GGGGGAAACGCAGGGGCCGCAGGGCUGAACCCAGCGCGGAGUUGUGCGUCGGGAGAAGUUGUGGGACGAGCCGGGGGGCUGCGCGCGGGAGUGAGGCCCGCCCCUGCCUUAAGAGUUGCCCGGCCUGGAGGGGUGCGCUCCGAGCGCGAGCUGCGGGCUCCCCCCCACGCACGCCGUCUGGGUAAGUGUGUAGUAAGCUGAGCCGUGCAGCAAGUGUGGCUGGAGUGUGUGCGCGCGCGCCCGUGUGUGGUCCAGCCUCAGGUGUGUGUGUCCCGGGGGCGGGGGGAGGGGGGCGCAAGCUGGGUGUGGAAGGAGCGUGCGCCCCCGCGCCCCCCGCGCCCGGUUCCUGGGACCCUCCGGGCUGCCCCUCUGGUCGCCAUGGCUGCGGGCCCGGCCUGCCCCGCCGCUCCCGCCGCCCCUCCACCUGCCCUUUCCCUCCCUGCCGCGGGCCGGGCCCCAUCCCCCGCUGCUCCGGGGGGCCGGGGCCGGAAGAUGGUGGCCGCUGAGGAGCGGGGCGCGGGGAACUCGAGCCGCCCCUCCCCCGUUUCCUCCUCGGCCUCCACGCCCGCCUCUGCCAGGAGCCGGGGGGCGGCUCCGGGGCCCGGGGAGGGGGAGGGCCCCGCCUGCGGCCCAGACUGCGGGGCCCGGCUCUGAGCGGAGGGGGCCGUGAGAGCCGCGGGGUCUGGCCCCCGCCCCCCACCCCGGGUGCGAUCUGGGUCCCCUGGGGGGCAUCUCCCCCUGGCCUCCAGAAAGCUGGCUGGCCCGUGCUCUUGGCCCCUCGGCCCCUUGUUGACACGGUCCGAUUCCCCACGGGGACGGCUUUGCUCAACCCAAGAGCAGAGGCUGGUGACCAACCCUCGGCGGAGCCUGGAUCUCCGUCCAUUAGAACGGUGGGGCCCGGGCCCCGAUUACAGGAACAGACUGCAUGGGAAGGCAGGGGACAGGCUCUCCUGCUUUCCUGGCUAGGGGGAGGGAACCACCUCCCCAGGAAGAGCUCCCGGCGGGGAGGGCGCAGGGCAUCCCCCAGGGGCCCCUCUGAUGGGUGCACCCCGGAAUUACCCCACAUCCCGGCCCCCCAGGCCCGCAGCUCUAGCCAGGAGCCUGCCACCCCAGAGCUCUACCUGACUCUGAACCUUUGGUCGGUCUCAGGAUUGUUUGUCUGGGGUGUAAGCCCCUUAGACUUGGUAGGAUGGGGACGUCUGAAGAUGCCGGUGAGCUUGAAAAACCCCCUAACCGGGUCCCUGGAUAAACAGGAAACAGAUUCUGACCCCACUGCCAACGAAAGCCUGUUUCUAAUGGCGAGGGAAUGAACCGCACCAUUUUGUUCCACGCUGAAUCCACUCAGUGGAUUUUGCAGGCCUCCGAGAGGAGCUGCCGAGGUGGGACUUCACCCAUAGCUUCCUCCUGGAGACCUGGGGUCUCUCUGUGCGGCCUGUUCACCCACAUCCGAGACUGUCCUGUGAAGGCCUAGACCUUCCCUUUAUCUAAACUAAAAGGGAGAGAGAGCUUUAGAGCCGGGAGGAAGCUCUGUGGUCUGGGCCAGCCAGCUCCUCUCUGAAGGGGAGCUGACAGGAGCUACAAAUCCAGGUAAACCCAGCUGCACAUCACCUCCGGACCUGGGGGCGGGGGUGUCUCCCAGUCGUCUUCCCGUGAAGACGGAAUGCCAGGCUGCUUCCUGGCACUCUGUUCCCCCUGCCCUGAAACCUCUGGGGAAGGGUGGUCUCCAUGUUAGGAAGGAGGAGUGGAGGGAACCAAGGGACGCCGGAGAAGAGGGGAGCUGUGCGCAAGGCGAGGAGGGGGCGGGGAGCCCAGGGGCCUGGGAGGAGGGCCGGCGCCCCUCUGCUGCGGGCCGGAGCUCUUUUCACAUUGUGCUACUGUCUGCGCCUGUCACUAGCAGUGCAAUGUUAAAAGGGCAUUGGCCGCGCAGCGCUACCCAGCGCCGGCUGCCUCCUGGGCAUCGACCUUCCUCUCCUGCCUGGGCACCCCUCAGCCAGGGCAUCCCCCCAGCCCUUCCUGGCAGGGAUUCAGGAGGCCUCCCUCUGAAUAAGUCAGACGAAUAGCUCACACUUACAGAAGCACAUGUGUGCCAGACACCAAGUGCAUCAUGGUGGUCCUCAGGACCGAAAAGUAACAUCCCCAUUUUACAGAUGGAAAAACUGAGUCAGGAGAGGCUUAAGCAGCUUGGCCAGAGUUUGAUGGUGCUUAACGUUUCAGAGCCUAGAUCUAAUCCUGUCCUAAAUCACAGCUCACCAGUCUUGGAGAGGGUUGAGGAAGGUUGUCGGAGCUGAGGGGUAGAGGGUUUUUGGUGCCACCUGCUGGUUGUAGGGCUUUAAAGGAGGAAAGGAGGGAGUGGCUGGUUGGCUAAGAAGUUCCCAGACUCAGCUUGGGAUUGGAGGGUGGGUGGAGAAGAUUGAGAGAAUCCCUGUUGGGUCCAGAGUAGACCUCCAUGAGAAAAAGGGGGUGCACAGGCAAGGAAAAAAGGCUAACCCAAAAGGACUGCACCCCAGGGAAGGGCCGUUGCGCUCCUGGCAUUCCAUGCCUGCAGCUCCUUCCCUGGCUCUCAGGCAGAAAAAGGAGACCUCCUCUCCACCUACCCCUCUUAGUCACAGGGUACUUGACACCUGUCUGAGCAUCCAAAGUUUGGACAGUCCCGCCCCAUGGCCUGAUCGCAAAGAUUGCAUAGGAUCCCUGAACCCAACUCACGGAAUGAUUCUUCCAGGAGAGAUUACAAAGAACCGAGACCCAGGGGUGCCGUUUACUUUCCUGUUCCCCACAGUUCCUAGUUGGCUUAAUCAGUAAAUUGAGAGAGAGGCAGAUUUGGGGAGCUUUAAACUGAACUGAACUGAAGAAGGCAGCUAGUUUGCGCCUGAUGUUCAAGGUCAGAAAUUUUCAAGGACAAGCCUUCCUGAACUUUAGUGCAAGAAGUGGGGUUGAGAAGGACAGGGUUUGUGGGUCCCUUGCUGGAACCUGAGAGAAGGCUUUGGGCAUCACCAGGCAGGCUGGGAUGGACCCCGAGCCCCCCAGAUGGGGUGUUGGGAUGGACCCUGAGGCCCCCCCAGAUGGGGUGUUGGGGCGGACCCUGAGCCCCUCAGGUGGGGUGUUUGGGUGGACCCCGAGGCCCCCCAGAUGGGGUGUUGGGACGGACCCUGAGCCCCC
ensembl:lncRNA